rnacentral:rRNA from 1 species
UACGUAGGGUGCAAGCGUUAAUCGGAAUUACUGGGCGUAAAGCGUGCGCAGGCGGCUUUGCAAGACAGAUGUGAAAUCCCCGGGCUCAACCUGGGAACUGCAUUUGUGACUGCAUGGCUAGAGUGCGGCAGAGGGGGAUGGAAUUCCGCGUGUAGCAGUGAAAUGCGUAGAUAUGCGGAGGAACACCGAUGGCGAAGGCAGCCCCCUGGGCCAACACUGACGCUCAGGCACGAAAGCGUGGGGAGCAAACAGG